CCUACGGGAGGCAGCAGUGAGGAAUAUUGGACAAUGGGCGCAAGCCUGAUCCAGCCAUGCCGCGUGCAGGAAGAAGCAUCUAUGGUGUGUAAACUGCUUUUGUACAGGAAGAAACACUCCCUCGUGAGGGAGCUUGACGGUACUGUAAGAAUAAGGACCGGCUAACUCCGUGCCAGCAGCCGCGGUAAUACGGAGGGUCCGAGCGUUAUCCGGAAUCAUUGGGUUUAAAGGGUCCGUAGGCGGUUUAAUAAGUCAGUGGUGAAAUCUGGUCGCUCAACGAUCAAACGGCCAUUGAUACUGUUAGACUUGAAUUAUAAGGAAGUAACUAGAAUAUGUAGUGUAGCGGUGAAAUGCUUAGAUAUUACAUGGAAUACCAAUUGCGAAGGCAGGUUACUACUUAUGGAUUGACGCUGAUGGACGAAAGCGUGGGGAGCGAACAGGAUUAGAUACCCUGGUAGUCCACGCCGUAAACGAUGGAUACUAGCUGUUCGGAGCAAUCUGNGUGNGUAGACGAAGUAGANAAGUAUACCACCUCGGAGGUACGUUCGCGAGAAGUAGAACGACGAAGAGUAGUACGUACGUGAGAGACGACGACGACGACGACGACGGAGGGAGGAGG
rnacentral:rRNA from 1 species